CGCAUCUGUGCAUGCAGCAUAUCAAUAAGCGGAGGAAAAGAAACUAACAAGGAUUCCCCUAGUAACGGCGAGUGAAGCGGGAAGAGCUCAAAUUUGAAAUCUUAAAGGGUUUCCCUUUACGAAUUGUAGUUUAAAGAAGUGUUUUCUGUUGAGGUUUUGGUAAAAGUUCUUUGGAAUAGGACAUCAUAGAGGGUGAGAAUCCCGUAUUUGACCUUUACUUUCAACUUUGUGAUACACUUUCAAAGAGUCGGAUUGUUUGGGAAUGCAGUCCAAAAUGGGUGGUAAAUUUCAUCUAAAGCUAAAUAUUGGCGAGAGACCGAUAGCGAACAAGUACCGUGAGGGAAAGAUGAAAAGAACUUUGAAAAGAGAGUUAAACAGUACGUGAAAUUGUCAAAAGGGAAGCGUUUGACACCAGUGUUGUUUUUCUGAAAAUCAAUUAAAGAACUGUUUAUGCUAAGCUGUUUAGACUUUAUCAGCUAUCUGUUUAGUUUUGAGCUUUUCUUUAAUGCACUUUUCAGUUAACAAGUCAACAUCAAUUUCUUUUGCUAUAAAAAAGCUUGAGGAAGGUGGCUUGAGAUUCGUCUUAAGUGUUUAUAGCCUCUUGCCUAUGCAGUCGGAGAGAUUGAGGUCUGCAGCGUAGAUCCUUCGGGGCUAAAUGCAUUUGUGCUAAGUUAUAGCAUUUUAUAGACAACUUGUUGACUAUGAUUUGUCUUGUAGCUUACUCGCUUAUGUUAUUUUACCUACGCUUAGGAUGUUGAGUCAUCACACAUCUCU
rnacentral:rRNA from 1 species